rnacentral:rRNA from 1 species
GACGAACCGUGCGAACGUUAUUCGGAAUCACUGGCUUAAAGCGCGUGUAGGCGGGCCGGCACGUCCGUGGCUGAAAGCCCCCGGCUCAACCGGGAACGGCCCGGAUACGACCGCCGUGGAGGGGGUAGGGGGAGCCGAACGUUCCGGUGGAGCGGUGAAAAAUGCGUUGAGAUCGGAAGGAACGCCCGUGGCGAAAAACGG